AGAGUUUGAUCCUGGCUCAGAACGAACGUUAGCGGCGCGCUUAACACAUGCAAGUCGUACGAGAACGCUCCCUUCGGGGAGUUAUUAAAGUGGCGCACGGGUGAGUAACACGUGGGUAUCUACCUUUCGGCGGGGGACAACACCUGGAAACGGGUGCUAAUACCGCAUACGUCGGCUUCGGCCGGGAAAGAUGGCCUCUUCUUGAAAGCUAUCACCGAAAGAUGAGUCCGCGUCCCAUCAGCUUGUUGGUAGGGUAAAAGCCUACCAAGGCUACGACGGGUAGCUGGUCUGAGAGGAUGAUCAGUCACACUGGAACUGAGACACGGUCCAGACUCCUACGGGAGGCAGCAGUGGGGAAUUUUGCGCAAUGGACGAAAGUCUGACGCAGCAAUACCGCGUGAAGGAUGAAGGCCCUUGGGUCGUAAACUUCUGUCACUGGGGAAGAAAUACUCGUAAGAAAUACUCGUAAGAGUGCUGACGGUACCCACAAAGGAAGCACCGGCUAACUCCGUGCCAGCAGCCGCGGUAAUACGGAGGGUGCAAGCGUUGUUCGGAAUUAUUGGGCGUAAAGCGCGUGUAGGCGGUUUUGUAAGGCUGAUGUGAAAUCCCGGGGCUCAACCCCGGAAGUGCAUUUGAAACCCCGAGACUUGAGUAUGGGAGAGGGAAGUGGAAUUCCAGGUGUAGAGGUGAAAUUCGUAGAUAUCUGGAGGAACACCGGUGGCGAAGGCGACUUCCUGGACCAAUAUUGACGCUGAGACGCGAAAGCGUGGGGAGAAAACAGGAUUAGAUACCCUGGUAGUCCACGCCGUAAACGAUGGGUACUAGGGUGUAGCGGGUAUUGACCCUGCUGUGCCGCAGCUAACGCAUUAAGUGAACCGCCUGGGGAGUACGAUCGCAAGAUUAAAACUCAAAGAAAUUGACGGGGGCCCGCACAAGCGGUGGAGCAUGUGGUUUAAUUCGACGCAACGCGCAGAACCUUACCUGGAUUUGACAUCCUCAGAAUCCCUUGGACACUAGGGAGUGCCCUUCGGGGAGCUCAGUGAAAGGUGCUGCAUGGCUGUCGUCAGCUCGUGUCGUGAGAAGUUGGGUUAAUUCCCGCAACGAGCGCAACCCCUUUCUUCAGUUGCCAGCAGUUCGGCUGGGCACUCUAGUGAGACUGCCGGUGUUAAACCGGAGGAAGGUGGGGAUGACGUCAAGUCCUCAUGGCCCUUAUGCCCAGGGCUACUCACGUGCUACAAUGGUCGGCACAGAGGGUCGCAAACUCGCGAGAGCAAGCAAAUCCCAAAAAGCCCAUCUCAGUUCGGAUUGGAGUCUGCAAUGCGACUCCAUGAAGGAGGAAUCGCUAGUAAUCGCGGAUCAGCAUGCCGCGGUGAAUACGUUCCCGGGCCUUGUACACACCGCCCGUCACACCACGAGAGUUGAUUACUCCAGAAGUCGUCGAGCUAACCUUUCGGGGAGGCAGGCGCCCAAGGAGUGGUUGGUAACUGGGGUGAAGUCGUAACAAGGUA
rnacentral:rRNA from 1 species